rnacentral:sRNA from 1 species
GAGCUGGGCGGAAGAAGGCGAGGCGGGAGCCAGGCCCGUCACUGACCGCCGCGGCGCCGUGAGUCCCGGGCGGGCAAGGAGGCGCGGGCCGUCCCUGGCCAACACGUGGCACCGCUCCAUGCUGCGCGGCGCGGCUGAGGACCGUGACAAACACUCAUCGUUGGGUGGGGCUCUAGUGCAGUCCGUUGGUGCCAAUAUUUUAUAAGCGACGUUUUCAAACUAUGUGAAGAUCCUUUCUUUUCUUUUCUUUGUUUUUUGUUUUUGUUUUUGUUUUUUUUUGAGACGGAAUCUCGCUCUGUCGCCCGGG